rnacentral:rRNA from 1 species
AUGGUAACAUCCAUGUUAACUGAAAAAUCAAACUUUAUUAUUGUUCAAGUCCAAACGGUUACACUGGAUGAAAAAAAUACAAUAUAUCAUCUCAACAUUAUUGUAGAUCUCCUUAUGCUUCGUCAUUAUCAGCUGGUGGUGGCUUCUUGUCACAUGCUUGAAUAUGCUUCUCGACCACCUUCGUCAAAUGAUUUAUGUGUUCAAUCAAAACCUGCACCAACAUGUUGGUAUGCUUUUGUGCCUACAACAUCUCAUAGUUGUUGGCCUGCCAAACGUCUUUCCUCGAUGCACUUGACCCCGUGUCACACUGGAUAUCCUAGCCUGAGGGGACAUGUGCACGAGGGAUGUGAUGCACCUCACGAUGUCGGAUUAGGUUAUCAAAAUGGUUCGACGAAAGCAUGGAUGGGAAUUGAACAGGAAGUUUACGUUCAUGCAUAUUUAGUUUCUUACAUCUCGGUGCAGAUCCCUCCCCAACAUUCCCAUCUCGGCUCGGUUCUUCCUCAUCUUGUUCCAGCUGACCAAGAUCAUCAGGGUGUAGCUCCCUCGUUUCUUCUUCUUCUUCAUGAUUAUCAUCAGCCCCAUCGAUGCUGUUGGAAGACGACAUGUCAAAUUAAGCUGUAG